ACUCAAAUGAAUUGACGGGGACCCGCACAAACGGUGGAGCAUGUGGUUUAAUACGACGAUACGCGUGGAACCUUACCCAGGCUUGACAUGUACUAGAAAGCCUUAUGAAAGUAGGGACCCCUCUUCGGAGGCUGGUACACAGGUGUUGCAUGGCUGUCGUCAGCUCGUGUCGUGAGAUGUUGGGUUAAGUCCCGCAACGAGCGCAACCCUUAUUCUUAGUUGCUAAUCUAGCCGCAAGGUUAGAUGCACUCUAGGGAGACUGCCGCUGAUAAAGCGGAGGAAGGUGGGGAUGACGUCAAGUCAGUACGGCCCUUACGCCUGGGGCUACACACGUGCUACAAUGGCCGGUACAAAGGGCUGCGAUACCGCAAGGUGGAGCAAAUCCUUAAAGCCGGUCCCAGUUCGGAUUGAAGGCUGCAACUCGCCUUCAUGAAGCCGGAAUCGUUAGUAACCCUAUAUCAGACACGAUAGGGUGAAUACGUUCCCGGGUCUUGUACACACCGCCCGU
rnacentral:rRNA from 1 species